ACCCGGUUGGACAUUUUUAUUGGUAAUAAAAGGAAAGUAGAGAAGUGCUUGACCCAUGAACGAGAUGGAUUUGGAAGAUGGAUUUGAAGCUAAGAAUGCCUGAUGUUCAGCACUGCUCUGUACAGAUUCUUUCCAAGGGCCUGAGAGGAACCCCACUUAUUCUGCUUUCAUUACCUUUUAACUUUUUAUUUAAAAUACUCCCCAAAACUACAUACUCACCAGGACCCACAAUACCUGAUUGUGAACCUAAAAAUGGAUUAUGGAUUCGUGAGGCUACAUGAUCUAUCAGCACACUUAUGUGGACCAAAGCUUUCUAGGGGAUUUAAGUAAGAUGUUAGAACUGUCUUCUACAUCACAAACACAGAAAGGUAUGAUAAAAUUAAAGCAUCACCAGCCUACCAGUCGGUCCACCACCACUGCCACAAGUGAGCACUUAAUGUUAGCUCACUGUCGUUCAUCACGUCAAAUCAGUAUUGUUCAUCUGAGUGCGGCAUUUGUCAUUUUGUUGGAAUUCAGUGUGCAAAUUUGUUUUGGAUUUUCAGUUGUAGAUGCACUAUAAGCUGAAGGGAUGUACGUCUACUUUUGAAUUUGUAUAUACUGACGGAACAUUACAAUAUGAAAUAAUUUCAAUAUGGUACAAGGCAAAUAUAAAAAAUGGGGCAGGGAGGGAGAAAGGAAAGAAUUAAGGAAGUUGGGAAGGAAGCAAAGGGAACUUAGUCUGGAACCCCAAAGAAAACAACUCUAUAGCCUAAGGGUUCGGAUUCCUAAAUCACAAACAUCACCUCAUGGAUUGCUUGGGUGUCACACAAUGAGACCCAGACCUGCCUUAAGUAAUGUUCUCAUUUAUUCAACAAAAUUUCUGGCCCCAUUAAGGCCCUAUGCUUAAGUCUGAUAGAUGGUUUAUUAUUUACUACAGCUACCAAGGAGGGGAGAGACGAGAAUGGAACAUUCUCCAGGUAAAAAUGCACAAAUCUAGGUAGAAAUAAUCUCACCUACAUAACGAUCACAAAUACUUGUUUACAGCCUUUUAGGCAACAUGAGAAGACUAGUAAGGUGCUCAAGAUGACACUUUCCUUUAAGAUUAAAAUAUCUGUGGGAGCUUUUGGUCCAUUAAGGCCCGAAUACGUUUCAUCCACCACGUUCCAAGUGGCAUGCUCCUGAAACUAAUUCCCUCUGCAGUUUAACUCCAGAGCUUCUCAGGGGAAACCAACUAAUUUUUAAUAUUGGAUUAAGCAAAAUACAAUUAGGAAGGCAAAUUUCUAAGAGGGAGAAAUCAUGCAGAAUAUUCCCAAGCCAAUUUGUAUGAUUUUGCAACAUUCAUUGUUUGAGUUCUCCUCUCCAUCCCUCCUUUCACAGGUAAUCAUGAAUUGCCUGUAAUUAAAAAAUCUCAGGUAACUGGCAGCAGGAACAUUCCUUGAGAAUUGUUUCCUAGGUCUCAGUAAUAAGCCUAGAUUUUUAUAUUUGCCACUAUUUUGAUGCUAGAUAUUCCUUCUCCUCUUUGUCUACUUCGAACUUGAGCAUUCUAAGGACUCUCUCCCUUUGAUCUGGAAAGGAAGAGAUACUCUGUUUUAUAUCUACAGCCACAUCUGAGUCCAACAGCUGAUUGUUGCAUCCUUGACCACAUUAUCUUUAUCCCUCCAGGAAUGGGCCUCAAAAUGAAAGAAGUUUGACUGUUAGUGAUUCGUAAGAUAUUAGAGCUCAGCAGGCCCUGAGAGCUGAGCUUGUCCAAAGACAUAUAAUAAGACUGAAAGUAUUCCUUUGUCUGCUUGGAGGGAAACCCCGAUAGGCCCUCUAGAUAUGAAUGUUUAUUUCUAAAUUUGAUUUUUUCCAAACACUUGUUGAAAGAGAUUCAACAAGACCUUACACUAACGGCUACAUUGUCCAAGGAAAUAUCCUUCCAUCUAUAGAUUGGUAGUUGGUUUUUCAUUAGGACGAAGGUUAAUUAAAAUCUUAAAAGAUUUCCACCUAUCUCAAUAUGAGGAAAGGCACAUGAAAAGGGAAAAUUAUCUUGCACUAAAAUCUCGGGGAAUUUUACACACCACUCUUAGAAUAUGAAUUUUAUGUUUGGAUGAGAUCAUAUAAUAUACCUUCGGAUAAAUCCACAGUUUCUAUUUGGAAUCAUAGUUUGUGAUCUAUUUGGUUUAUCCAUGGUUUAAAUUCAAAGAUGCCAAAUUGAGCAUGCCUCAGGUUUGCUACACAGCAUGAGGGGAAAAAAUGACCACUAAGAGCCAUGUGGUUCCACCCUGCUAUUUUCUUUUUUUUUUCUAACAUACGUCUAUCUUGCUGACCUCUGCUCCAUACCCAUGAUCUCUUAUCUAGGCCAUGAGCAGAGGACACAUUCUCCAGGGAUCAUAAUAAAUAAAAGAAGGUAAAGGGGAUUUUUUUUAAAAAAGAGGAGUACAAAUUACAGUUCCAGGAAAACUGGAAAGCAAAAUGUAAAUGAGAGUCCCUCAUUAUUUCUUUUUAAGGAUACUGGCACACUUAAAAUGUGGAUUUAAAUGUAGGUUCAGUAUAUACACAUUUCUGUGUGUGCAUAUCGGGCCUGUGUGUGCUCCAUGCCUUUCUCCAGGAAGGCCAAAGUGCCCUCACACACCGAUUUCAGAUCACAUAGUGUCAGUGCAGCUGGGACCAGUGUGGGAGGCAGGCUACAGAAGUGACUAGAGCAGAGUUGGAAAGAAAACUAGAUUCUAAUCCAGUUCAGGCACCUAUCAGGUAGGUAAUCUUGGGCAAAAAUGUCUCUGUAUCGGCUUCUCAGGCUGCAGCUGUCAACAUCCAAUGGCACACCGGAAGUAAAGCGCCAUGCUAGGUGUAUAGCAGAUAGUCAGUAAAUGGCAGAGAGUUUGUGACCAUCACUCAAUGGAUGCCUGAGCAUGAGUGAUCAGCUGGCUUAGUGUCAUUCCAUUCCAUCUGCUGCGCAACAUCAAAUAAACGUGUGCACUGUGUAACAGGUGGCCACCAGUGGAUGCUUUAUCUGCAUGACACUGUGCAACUCUUUGCAAAGUUCUUGCCCUGGGUAGACUCUUUUCUGAGGCCUAUUUUAUCUCCCCAGCUCCCUGCCCUACUCCUACACAACACCUUGCACACACACACACACACACACACACACACACUGUUUACCAUUUAAUUGACUAGCUGUUUUAGCUUCCUGGACAGACAGCAACAGAGCUAAAAAUAGCUGGGUCCUCCCAAACCAGCAACCCUUUAAAGGAGCUAAAUUGCCCUGCUUUUAAUUCUCCACCAAAAUCUGAUCUCAGGCUUUAUAAAAGAGAAGCGCUAAGGGCCCUUCUACGAUAGAGUGUUCCGCAAUUGACAUGCUGUCCAUUGCUUGAAAGGUUUUGUACACUGGUACUUAAUCCUUGUUUCAGUUACAACCCCUGUAGGGAAAUCUGACUCCUGUACAUGAGUUCUUCAUUUAUUUCUGAGCCAAGAUAAUUCUAGGAUUACCACUUAGAAAAUUGGGAGAACAGACUUGGGCACAGUUUCCACCCAGACAGCAUUGAAAAGAGGGGCAUGUAGACUACCUUUUCGGUGACAAGGUUAGAGACAGGUAUUGUGGUUAAAUCCCAUUAGCAAGAACAUUACACUCAUUAAGUAAAUGCUAGAGUGGGAACUGAGAAGUCUUCUUCCCCCAUCCCACCCCCAGUGUCCUCUCCUUCUCCUGAUGGCAUGUCCCUUCCAUGCAGGGGACUCCUUGCCCAGGAAUGCCUGUCUGCAGUAAAUCACAGUGUACUCCCAUGCCAAGUGGCUCCAAAGCCAGAAACACACUGUAAAGAACACAUGCCAUUCUGCAAAACUCUACCAGCAUGCACCAUUCCUAAAUUGUCUCUCUCUUAUUUCUUGGGUGACCUUUAGGUUUCAGAAAGUAUUCCUUUGUGUUAAAGCAAACACAAACUGUUCUGCAAGCAUCAUUCAAGAAUUUAAAGAUUCUAUUAAUCUGAUGUCUUAAUUGUUAUUGAGAAGAGGAAACAGGAGUGUCUUUGUUUCCCGAAUGACCACAUGCUUCUCAAAAGUGGCCCACAGUGUUGGAGUUUGCAUCUCAAGUUGCAGGCAGCUCUGAGUUCAGUGGCACUUCGGUGGAACUAAUUUCCACACAGAAUGAGGGGCAGCACAAACUAAAGCUGAGCAAAUUCAAAGUGCAUCACAUGGAUCCAAAAUGAAGGCGUUGUUCUCCCAUUCUGAAAAGUAGUUUAAAAUAAGGACUAAACAACGUAUGUCUCCUCACUGAAGGAGCUAAGCGGGCUACUCACACAGACACACGCCCCACAGUGAGGAGCAUCAACCUGGACUCAAAAGAGAAAGAAACAUCCCGGCAGCCCUGAGGAAAAAACAAACAUGAAUGUAAUUUAAUGAAAGUACUCUAUGUGCCUACUAUGUGUAAGACAUUGAGGGUCCAGGCACAAAAAAAGGAAGUUUAGCUCCCAUCUCCCGACCAGGUACCUGCUGGUAGGAAUCCCAUAAAUUCCCUGAAAAGGGAAGAACAUCCAGCUUAGCUGAAAAAGACAUACAGAACCCAAAUACUGUAGCUCCAUGGGCGGGGCAGCAUUUGAAAUGUGCCUUAAAAGCCCAGUAAAAAUUCACUUUUAAAAGAUGAGUGAAGCCGGAUACACUCUAGGAGGCUGAGGCAGGACAAUCACAAUCAGGAGAUCAACCCAGGAAAAUCUGCAGUUUAGCGACACCUUGACUCAGGAAAGAAGGGAAAAGACGGGGUGUGUAGCUCAGUGCAAAGACCCCAAGUGCAAUCCCCAAUACUGCUGAAUAAACAAGAGUAAGCAUUACGGUUGAAGAAAUGAAGAUAAACUAAGCUAUGAGGCAGAGACCAAAAUGAAUAAAUAAUACAGGUGCUGCUGCAUUUCUACUGAGGCUAAAACCCAUCAUAAAUAGAAAAAAUCAAAAAUGUAUUUACUAUUCUUCACCUACUGGACAUCACAGCUGUGCCUGGCCUGCCUUCCUUACAUACAGUUAAGCAGCACCACCCAACUCAAAGCCCAUUUUAUAAUUAAGCAUUGACUAUCUCAGUUAACUUUCUGAAUGACAAUAUCCAAAACACACUGCCCGCACGGUGCCACCUACAGUUUCUGCGUUUCUCCUGCUGAAAUGACUCACUGCUGCUGUCCAGACUGGGAAGAAGCAUCACCACCUAUCACCAGCCCAGAACAGACUGAAUUCAAACUUCAGAGCCUGCUUCCCAGCCUACCCUGUGGCUUUCUUCCCAUCACAAAGUUGGAUUUCAACAACUGUGAAUCUCAGGAUUGAAACUCUGGGAACUCAAUGGAAGAGAAUGCUGAUGGUUAAAAUAAGAAGUCUAUUUGUUAGGUUGGCCCAUGAAACACAGGAAUUCCUUCAACAAAAUUCUCACACAUGCUGCUAUAGUUUGGAAGCUGAAGUGUCCCUGGAGGUCCACAUGUGGAAGGCUGGGCCACCAACUUGGGGUACUACUGUGGAAUGGUGGAGCCUUUGAGGUGUGGAGCUUCACGGAAGGAAGUUAGGCCAUUGGGGGUGUGGCCUUGAAGGAGAUAUUGGAUCCUAGCCCCUUCCUCUUUCUCUCUUUUCUUCUAGGUCCCCAUGAAGCCAUCCUCCACAGUGUCCUCCCACCAUUACAUUGGGCCUUAUCACAGGUCCAAAGCAAUAGAACCUCUUGACCAUGCACAGAAACUUAUGAAGCCCCAAGGAAUGACAGAAAUCUCUCCUCCUUACAAGAUGAUUUUCUAGAAAGCUAACACCUAUGCUUAUCUAGCUUCCCAGUGAUAACAAUAAUGAUAUUGAUGCAGUACUUCUUUCAUACCUACCAUGUGCUGGACACUGUAUGAAGUACACUGAGCACUGAUGGUGAAUCCAUUGUGUUCUUAGAAGUUUAUGUAUACUAGCUUAUGGAGUGCCCGAGGAGCUACCCUAGGAAGUAGGUCCUAUUGCUACUGUUAUUCCAUGGAUGAAUCAGUGGAAACAGAAAGGAGUUGAAUAACUUGCUCUGGGUCAAAGAGUUAGAAAAAGAGGACCUGAAAAACUGAGUUACACAGACCUGCCCCAGAGCCUGCCCUUUAAUCUUGUGCCACCACUAGGGGUAAGAGAAACAGAGAGAGUGAGGAGCUAAAAUCCACUUGAACACAGCUCCAAUUAAUAGAUAAAUCUUCAGUUUUCUGAGCAAAAGCUGCCUCCCUGAGUCUUCAUGUUGCCUUCAAGAGAACAAUAAUAAUUUCUUCUUUAGUUUGAUAGUCCUUAUAUCAGAAACUGGCAAACUAUGGUUUUGGGGCCAAAUCUGGCCCACCAUCUGUUUCUGGGUAAGCAGUGAGCUAAGAAUGGAUAUCACACUUUCAAAUGGUUACAAAAAAAAAAAUCCAAAAGCAGAGACUAUUUUGUGACACACAAAAAUCACAUGAAAUUCAAAUCCCAGUGUUCAUAAAUGAAGUUUUAUUGGAACACAGUGAUACUUCCUUUACAUAUAUUCCGUGGCCUCUUUCACUCCACUUCAAGGUCAGAAUUAGGUAGUUGCAACAAAGACCAUACGGCCCAGGAAGGGCUAACGUAUCUCUUGCCCACUCCAGAAAAUAUUUGCUGACCUCUGCUUUAAAUAGCUGGGGUGGGUUCCCUUGUCCUUUCUUAGAUUUGCUUUUUUAUGGUAAAAAUAUCUCAAGUCCUCCCUUAUGUUAUCAGCUCAUCACAUAUUCUAUCCCUCAUAACAGUAGUAUUCAGCGGUAAAUUCAUACCGUGAAAUAUUGCUCACCAAUGAAAAGGAACAAACUAUGACAGAGACGUAAAAACCAGAAUGAAUCUCCAAACCAUUAUGCUGAGAGAAAAAGCCUUACACAAAUUGUUCUUACUGGCUGCUUAUAUGAAUAUGAAAUUCUAAAACAGAUGAGUCUAUGGUGAAAAGUAUUAGAACAAUGCUUUUCUUUGGGAAAAAGGAACAGGAAUUGGCUGGGAUAAGCACAAAGGAAUCCACUUGAUAAUACAAACAUUCCAGAUCUUAAUGGCUGUUUGAGUUAUAGAGUUGUAUAUAUUUGCCAAAAUUUACACAUAUAGUUUGUAUGUUAUACUAUAUCUGCCUCAAAAGACUGUAAAUAAAUAUUGUACUAUAGUUAAUGAUCUGCAGACUGAAAUGUUUAAGUAUAUCAACACCUAAAACUUGAAGUGCAGCAGAAAAUGAAGAUUCUUGGAUGAUUGGAUAGAGAAAUGGACAGAUGGCAAGGCAUGUGAUACAGGAAGCAGAGAAAAUGUUCACUGUGAAAAGUAGGCAGUGGGUAUGUGAAUGUCCACUGACUAAUUCUUACAAGUCCUGUGCUUCAAACUGGUCAUAAUAAAAUACAUUUCUCACAAUACAUCCUCUAUGUUCACUAUCUUGAAGACAGAUGGUAAUGUGUUCACAGAUAUAUCCCAUCUCAAAACUUAUCCGAUUGUAUACUGUAAAUAUGUGCAGUUUAUGUCAAUGAUGGCUCAGUGAAAUUCUUUUUAAAAAGUGGACUCAUAAUGUAUUGUACUAUUAUUUAAAAAAUUUUAAAAAGUCUUCAGAGUAAAGUAGGGAAGAACAAUGUGAAAUGAACUACUCUAAAUACUACACACAGUGACAUCACUCUUUCCUUUACCUUGGCCAUUUUCAUGUUAGCUUUUAUUUUCCUGUAAUGUAACUGAGUAAAUUCUGAAGUGUCCUACCUUGCACUCACCAAAGGACACAUCUUGGGUACAACCUUGAGGACUAGUAAUAGGAGUACAUUCUAUGAUGGAAUCUGACUCCAUGGCAAGAGACCCACUUUUUCUUCUCUGUUUCAGUUUUAUUACAGAAAGAUACAUAAAAGAAAAGGCAUGGAGACAUCCCCAGUGAAAUGCUCCCACUAAAUUCCCUGUGGAAAACAGUAUAAGUUCCACAAGUGAGCUUACACUUUUGUCUCAUGACUGUGUAGAAAGAAGAGGAAUCUUUUGAUCACAGAUGAAUUCCUGGCCUUCUUAACCUCAGCAGUGGUUGUCACGUAUGUCUCAUACUAAGGUUCACUAUCAUUUGACACACACCAUGCGCACCACUGUUACAAAUGUGAUUAAGCGUUUCUUUAAGGGGCC
rnacentral:lncRNA from 1 species